rnacentral:misc_RNA from 1 species
UUGAAAAGCCUUGGAGUUACUGUUGCUGGCCUUUUAACAAGGGCAUGUGCACGUAUCUCUAGUCCUAUUCAUCCACCUGUGCACUUUUUGUAGAGGUUCUUGAAGAUUGGCUUAUAGGUUUCUGACCUUGUAGUCGAUUUGAAAGGCUUCUAUGUUUUUACAAACCAUUAAGCAUGUUUAGAAUGUUCUUUUAUUGGGACUUUAUUGGCCCUUUAAAAUCUAUA